AUUGAACGCUGGCGGCAUGCUUUACACAUGCAAGUCGAACGGUAACAGGCCUUCGGGUGCUGACGAGUGGCGAACGGGUGAGUAAUGCAUCGGAACGUGCCCAGAGGUGGGGGAUAACGCAGCGAAAGCUGUGCUAAUACCGCAUAUUAUCUGAGGAUGAAAGCGGGGGACUAAGCAGCAAUGUUUGGCCUCGCGCCUUUGGAGCGGCCGAUGUCAGAUUAGGUAGUUGUGGGGUAAAGGCCUACCAAGCCGACGAUCUGUAGCUGGUCUGAGAGGACGACCAGCCACACUGGGACUGAGACACGGCCCAGACUCCUACGGAGGCAGCAGUGGGGAAUUUUGGGACAAUGGGCGCAAGCCUGAUCCAGCAAUGCCGCGUGCAGGAAG
rnacentral:rRNA from 1 species